CCCUUAGAUGUUCUGGGCCGCACGCGUGCUACACUGAGUGGAUCAGCGGGUCAGGUUGCGCGAAAGUGUUUCCUAAUCUUUAAAUCCGCUCGUGAUGGGGAUUGACGGUUGCAAUUUUCCGUCAUGAACGAGGAAUACCUUGUAAGCGCGGGUCAUCAUCCCGCGCUGAAUACGUCCCUGCCCUUUGUACACACCGCCCGCCGCUCCUACCGAUUGAGUGGUCCGGUGAGGCUUUGGGAUCUGAGCGGAAAGAGCGUUUCGCUGUUUCUGCCCGGAAAACUCAGUCGAACCUUAUCAUUUAGAGGAAGGAGAAGUCGUAACA
rnacentral:rRNA from 1 species